GACGAACGCUGGCGGCGUGCUUAACACAUGCAAGUCGAACGGAAAGGCCCUGCUUUUGUGGGGUGCUCGAGUGGCGAACGGGUGAGUAACACGUGAGUAACCUGCCCUUGACUUUGGGAUAACUUCAGGAAACUGGGGCUAAUACCGGAUAGGAGCUCCUGCUGCAUGGUGGGGGUUGGAAAGUUUCGGCGGUUGGGGAUGGACUCGCGGCUUAUCAGCUUGUUGGUGGGGUAGUGGCUUACCAAGGCUUUGACGGGUAGCCGGGCUGGGCGGGUGACCGGCCACAUUGGGACAUGGGAGCGGGCCAGGCUCCUAAGGGGGGGAGGAGGGGGGGAUAAUGGACAAUGGGCCGAAGGCUGGUGCAGGCACGGCGCGUGGGGGAAGACGGCCUUCGGGGUGUAAACCGCUUUCGCCUGUGACGAAGCGUGAGUGACGGUAAUGGGUAAAGAAGCACCGGCUAACUACGUG
rnacentral:rRNA from 1 species